UUACCAUUGAAUACAGACCAUUCAUAAUGUCAUGCACAUGUCACAUUCUAUGGAAAAUAUAACAGCAAAAAAUGAAUUAAUGAUGCUAAAUUAAAGGAAAUAUGGAGAGACAAAGAAGGAGAUAGUGAGAGGGAUCUAGAGAGGUGAGGAGCUAGAGAGAGAGAGAGAGAAAGAGGAAGAGACAGAGAGAGGAAGAGAGGAAGAGAGAGAGAGAGAGAGAGAGAGAGAGAGAGAGAGAGGGAGUGAGUGAGAAGAGAGUGAGAGAGAAAGAAGGAGAGGAAGAGAGAUAAGGAGAGAGAGGAGGUUGAGAUAGUGAAAGACGGAGUGAGGGAGAGAGAGAGAGGAAUGGCGAGAGAGAGAGAGAGAGAGAGCUGGAGCAAAGCACCCACUUCCCUGUGCAGAGAAAGUCCAGCCCACAUGUUUGUGAUUCAGGGAGAGUGCGCGGCCUGCAGCCCGGCAUCCUGUUGCACGAGGAUGCACCUGCUCCGGUCCAGCAGGUCCUGUGCGGCGCGAGGCCCCGUCAGCACAGCUGUGCUGCCGGGCACGUCCCAGCUCGUCCCAAACCCCAGCUCCGUCGUCGAUUCCACCCACCUCUCUGGGCAGAACAAAACAACAGGCGCCCGCACCAGAGUGUCGACAAGCAAGACAGAAGAACAAGGGAGAACAAUAAUAAUAACACAGCUGGCUG
ensembl:lncRNA